GACCAUUUUUAUAUGCAAGCUCCUGGAAUGCCUGUGGUUUCUCCAGCACCUGGGUCCUGCUGGCAACCAGCAGCACCCAGUGGCCAGCAGCGUACUCUUUCACCUCUUCUUGGGUGACUUUGUGGAAUGCUCCAAUGUGACAUCUCCCUGUGAACGCCUUUCCUGACACCCUAAAAAGUGUCAGGAAUUUCCAGCAAGUUCCAGAGAGCAGGUUUCCAGCAAGUUUGGUCAGUAUGACACCACAGCGAUAUCUCUGCCAUUCACUGAACUUGGAUUCUUCCUUCUUCAGUGAGGUGAAGAAACUGAGGCUUGGAGGGUCCGAAUAACUUGCCCAAUAUCACAGAAAAGAUGUUCAAGAAAAAGAACAACUUCAGUGGAAGAAGAAGAAGAUAGGAGCCCAGGUCCUGUGUUUCACCAAGACAGCCGUGCAAAGCAGAUGCUGCCAAAAAGGUGCAAAGUGGUUUGUCAGCUCUUCUGCAUGUUCUAACAAAUUAGACAUGCAUCCCAAAAGGUUUCCUAGACUUUCCAUCACCACCAGUGAAUUCUGAGUGACAAUAGUGUGGAAUUUGGAAGAAUGGAAGAGAAACUGAAGUGGAGAGAUGGUGAAAGAGAAGAAAAAAUGAAGAAAGAUGCUUGCAAAAAUACUGCUGUGGGUCCUGAGAUGAGGAUUCUGGGAGGGCUGAAAUGGAUGCCCCUGACAGCUCCCUUUGAGUUCCUGUUCAUCUGAAGUACACCAGCUUUCUAGAUAUGCUGUCACUUUCCUUCUGCAGAGCCACAGUGGUGUCCUGUCUUCUCAGACCUCUUCUCACCUCAAAUCACUUAGGACUCGGCCACCAGACAGAUUUGGGAUUUCAGAACUUUUCAGAUGUUAGAAAGUUCUUUUCUAAAUGUGAUGAGGAAUUACGGAAUCAUAAAAUGGAAGCAGAGUUAAACUCAGACAUGUGGGCACUCAAGGCAAUUAGGAGCUUUCUGCGAUGAGAAAGGGAUCAGACUGAUCCUUAAGACUUUAUGCAACCCCAGAGUAUUGCAGCCACCUGCAUGCCGAAGGUGUCAAGAGUGUUCUCACUGCUGCCUAUAGGAGGGUCUUCAGCCUCCAGUGAUCCAAAGUACCAGGCUGACCUGUGACUGCUUCGGCCAACUGAAUAGGGAAGAGUGAUGCUGUGCUGUUUCCAGGCCUGUUCUUUAAAAGUACUUGGAAGCUUCUGCCUUGGCCUCUUUGUGCCUGAGUUGCUGUAUAAGAAUCUGACUACCUUGCUGGAGAGACCUUGUGGAGAAGACUUGACCUUAUAUGCAGAGGUAGAGGGGCCCUGGUUAGUCCAGCCAUCUAGCCAUCCUGUCAAAAUAGCAGGAGUAUGAUGGCCAAUGGAUCCAAAACCUAUCCUAUAUCUACAUGUUGGUGGCCACAUUAAUCUGACAUCUGACAGCAAGAGCGAUGAUUGGGUUCACUGGAAAUCUUUGUGAAGUACGAGUGAAGUCCUUGUGAAGUCAGAGUUUCCUCUUCAUGCCUCUACUCCUAUGCAGUUUGACCUCUCAGUGUGCAGCUGGUGAUAGAUGGAAACCCUUGUUCAUAAGCUUUGUGGCACUGUCGGCAGGAUGAGGGGACUUCUGGAUCCUCACUGGUCACUGUGGCAGAGUGGUUGGUGUUGUCUGCUCCCUAGACAGGAACCCACUGAAGAAUCUGACAUUUUUUGAUAUGCUGGCAUUCAUUGUUACAGCCCAUCAUCCCAGCCAUCAAUCCAGGACAUGGGGUCUGUGCCCACGGUGGGAAGGAGGAGGGGGAAGCUGGCUUUGUUCUGACGUUGGGCUUCUUCUGCUCCACCAGUACUUUCUGUGGGGGAAAUAGGUAAAGAAAUGGCUGUUCAGAUGAGAAGAUGUGUCAGUAAACUUUUGCUACAGUGAUGCUGCAAAACAAAUCACUGGUGACUUUCAGUGGCACACAGCAAUAAACAUUUAUUUAGCUCAGGGAUUGACAAUCUUUUUUUUUUUUUAAAGGGCCAAAUAGUAAAUAUUUUAGGUGUUUCAGGCCAUACAGUCUCUGAACUCUGAACUUGUAGCACAACAGUAGCCUUAGAUGCUAUGCAAAUGGAGGAGCAUGACUGUGUUCCAAUAAAACUUUAUUUAUGGACACUAAAAUUGGAAUUUCAUGGAAUUUUUAUAUGUUAAGAAAUAUUAUACUUUGAUUUUUUUCAACCACGAAGUUGAAUGGUCUGUGAGUUUUUUUCACAAGUCAUACAAAAACAGAUGGUGGGUCAGACUUGGCCCAUGGCCAUAGUUGGCUGAACCUUGAUUUAGCUCAUGAAUCUGCUCUGGGUUGGGCUCGGCUGCUCUGCGCUGCACUCAUCUGCAGUCGGCUGUGAGUUGGCUAGGCAGCUCUGCUGGUGGUGCCAGGGCUCAUUCACAUGUAUGGGGAUUGUUUGCCAUUGGCUGGUCCACAGUAGCCUUGGCUGGGAUGGCUGCGGCACGUUGGCUCUGCCGUGUGAGUAGCCAAGCAGGUCAGCCUGAGCAUGCUCUCUUAGCAGUGGUGGAGACACAUGAAUCUAAGUGGAAAUGUGCAAGCACUUUCAGAAACCUCUGCCUGAAUUAUGUUUGCCAACAUCCCAUGAGACAAAAUCAGUCACUAGGCUAAAGCCACAGUCAGGUGAGUUGGGGCAGAAUGCCCCUCAGAUUGAGAGGGCACUGCCAAGGUACAUGGCAAAAGUGAUGGAUGUGCUGGAGCCAUUAAGACACUCAACCCACCAAAGGACCUAAAUUGGGGAUAAUUUUUGUUUGUUUGUUUGUUUGAGAUAGGGUUUCACUCUGUCACCCAGGCUGGAGUGCAGUAGUAUGAACACGACUCACUGCAGCCUCGACUUCCCAGGCUCAAGUGAUCCUCCUGCCUCAGGCUCCCAAAGUGCUGGGAUUAUCAGCAUUAGCCACCACACCCAGCCAGUUAUUUUAUAUUUGACUUUUUAUUUUCUUAGAGAUGAGGUCUUUACUCUGUCACCUGGACAGGAGUGCAGUGGCACCAUUUUAGCUCACUGCAGCCUCAAAAUUCAGGACUUAAGUAAUCCUCCUGCCUCAGCCUUCUUAGUAGCUGCGACUACAGGCAUGUGCUACCACAUCCAGCUCAGUUUUUAAAUGUUUUGUAGAUUUGGGGGUCUUACUAUUUGCCCAGGCUGAUCUCAAACUCCUGGGCUCAAGUGAUCCUCCCACCUCAACCUCCCACAGCGCUAGGAUUACAGAUGUUAGCCACCUUGCCCAGCUAAGAAUUUAAAAAAUAUUCUACUUGUGAUCCUUUCUCAUGUUGUGAUGCUAGACCAGCUGGGGUAUGAUUGUGAAACAUGUAAGUGGGGGACACAGACAUGGUGAAACAAAUAAGUGUGAUCAGAGAGGGGACAAUGUGUGUGCAAAGGCACAGAGGCAAGAAAGAGCUUCUUUUUGGUGAGACAGUGCUAGGUGGAGUGAGUAUAAUGGUUGGAGAGGAGAGUAGGGAAGAGCGGGCAGACUUCAGAGUGGAUCUGAUAAAACUCAGUAGUAUUUUGGUUGCAACGGGCUGGGUCAUGUCUGAAGAAGCAGCCAUUUGAGAAUGAGCAAAAAUGAGGAUCCUGGUUUUUAAACACCUUAGCAGUAGUGUGGUCCUGUGGUAGGGAUGUGCAAAGCACUGGACUGCCCGCCUCCUUUUUCUGUUCGGUGAAGGGUGGGGUGAGGAAGAGCGCUCAGAGUGCACAGAUGGAUUCUCAAUUCAGGGUGAAACAGGAUUUUAGAUCCAGUUUCCUUUUAUAGUGGUUUUAGAGCAAAGAAUCAGGGACUCUGCUGUUUUCUGGUAUAAAAUGAGAGCAGCCAUACACUUCCUAUGCCCUUGAAUCAAGAUCAGACAAUUCCAGGGAAGAGCUAAGUUUUAACCUUUGAUCUCUAGGGGUAAAGUUUUUCUUUACUUUCUCCCUCCCUCUCUUCCUCCUUCCUCUCUUCCUCUCCACCCCUUCUUUUUUGUUUACGUUUUGAGCUGAAUAACAGGGGAAAAUGGGGCCUGAUAUACUACAAACUCCAACUAGAGUCCUUGGCAUCAUGGAAAAUUCCUUGACUUGUUUUGCAAAGGUUGGCUGCACCAUGAGAUUCCAUUGUUUCAAAGUGGAGUCAUGUAUAUGACAUAGGUUUUGCAUUAGGACUCUGGGGGAUUUUCCUUAUGAAACAAAAUGUGCAAUCUGCUUAGUUUCCCAGUGGCAAAGCAGAAAACUAGAUCUAUUUGUUAUAGAACUUUACGCUUCAGUUUUCCCCUCAUAAUUACAGAUGUGACUUUGAAGCUCACUGCAGCAAAUUCAAUGAGACCUUACAAUUUAAAAUGAAAAUAAAAUAUAUUUAGAAUGAAGCAUCAUAGGUUUAAGAAUAGAAUACUUUAAAAACGCAAAAAACAAGAAGUUAAAUGUGUAUGUUACCUAAAUGUUAAUGGGUUUCCCUUUUCCUUAUCUCCUAAGUCCUGCUGUCCAAGAUCCCUUGAUUCUUUGCCUAGAAUCAAUGAUGUCAUUCAAAGGGAAUGUUUGGAGGCACUGUCCUAGUUCACCCGCAGCAUUUCAGAUGGCAUUAGCGUCACUAGGAAAACAGACUUGAAACCAGGUUCAAGAAGAAUAAUAAUUUGCAUUUUGCUUUUAUAGUUUGCUGUCUUCCCCUCUAGAUUAUCUAGUUUAAAAAGGAACUUUCAUCAUCCUUGAAGUUCUAUGUUGAUCAGACAUUUUGUCCCUAUUAUUUCCUCUUUCUUCACAUUACGUCAAUGAGAGAGUUGAGAAUAGGUCUGAAAGAAGUCAGGUUAUGAGCUAACAGGAUACUGGGGAGUGAUACAUUAGAGGCGGUCAGUUCUGUGAAAGAUGCUAUUGAUGCUGAGUGCGUCUGCCUAGGUGGUCUCAUCCAGAGUUUCCAUGCCACAAAUACGCUGCUGACUCCUCAGUCGCUAUUUCUUCUUAUGCCUUAGAUCUCCGUAUUCGAACCAUUGUCUGACAUCAUGAGACUGUGCAUGUCAACCUCAAACUCUUUGUGGCUAAAAGAGGUUCUGCAUUCACCUGACCCCAUCCCUACCCUUCCCAGAUUAGUAAAUAGCACCACCAUCCACUCAGCUGCUUCCUGGAAAUCUUCGGAGUCACCUUCAUUCCUUCCUCCCUUCCUUUAUUUCAUACCUCACCUGCAAUCCAUCAGCAGGUCCUGCAGCUGCACAUGGUAUCCCAAGCUGAUGACUUCUCAGCACCUCCUGGCUGCAGCCCAGCCAAGGCAUGUAGCAUCCUUCUCACUGGCCUCUCUUCCUCCCCCAUAGCCAAUCUUCGGACCACAGCUAGAAAUAUUUUUUUCAAUGAGUGAAGAUCAACCUACUCCCCUGCUUCAGCUCUUUUUAUGUUUCCCUUUUCUCACUUAAAAUAGAAUGUAAGCUUCUUACCCAGGGCUACAAGGAUACACAACUCAACCUUCCUCCCAUUCCCCACUCAGCCUCUAUCUCUACCUACACUCGCUGUCCCUUGACCUUCCAAAUGUACCGUGUGUCAAGGCUUUUGCUCUUGCUGCUUGAAAUGUUCUUUGAGAAAAUCCCUGCCUUUUUUCUCAGCAUUCAGGUGCCAGCUCAAAUAUCAGACCCUCAGAGAAUCCUUCUCAGAUUAUCCUAGCAAGAGCAAUAAUAUUGUCCCUGCUCCACUCUGUUUGUUUUUUAUUUUUAUUAUUUUUUUUUUUUGAGAUGGAGUCUCUGUCACCCAGGCUGGACUGCAGUGGGGUGAUCUCGGCUCACCGCAACCUCCACCUCCAGGAUUCAAGCAAUUCUCCUGCCUCAGCCUCCUGAGUAGCUAGGAUUACAGGCUCACACCACUGCUCCUGGCUAAUUUUUGUAUUUUUAGUAGAGACAGGGUUUCACCAUGUUGGCCAGGCUGGUCUCGAACUCCUGACCUCAGGUGAUCUGCCCAUGUCGGCCUCCCAAAGUGCUGGGAUUACAGGUGUGAGCCGCCGCACCCGGCAUCUAUCUGUUUUAAUGGUUAUUUUCUUCUUCACACUUAAAAUUCUUCAAAAUACCUGCAUGUUUAUUGCCUGUCUUCCCUACUAGAAUGGAAACUUCUUGCAGACGUGGAUUUUUGUCUUGUUCAUUGUGGUGUGCCUCGCAGCUAGACAGUGCUUAGUACAACACAGGUACUCAAUAAAUGUUUGCUGAAUUAAUGAAAAAACACUAAUAAGGUAGGAUUUACCUUGAUGAUCUGGUUUUUUAAAAGCCCGCAAUGAGUGUUGAAUUCCACCAGGUUCAGCUACCCUUCUUCCAUUUCUAGCUCAUGAGGCCCAGGCCCAUGUUGCCGAGCCCUGGUUCCUUCUGGUCUGUACUCUCAUCAUCCCCUCUGGAUCAGCACUACCUCCACCAAAUACUUGUCCAGCUCCUAUUAUAUGACAGGUGUUGUUCUGAGCCUCGGGAGACAGAACUGAAUAAAAUGCACACAAGCAUCUACUUUCACAGAGCUUAUAUUCUAUGUUUUGGCCCAAAUCUACCUUUGUACCACACAAACAUGAUAGAAUCAGCUCUGCAUCAGGGUGGCCUUGAUGGGAAUUGGUUCAGACAGUUUACCAGUUUCUCCUAUUUGUCAGAAAUGUAAGGGGUUCCUCAACUGGAUUGCUUGGUUGUCCCAUAAAAGAAAAGUGAAGCGGAGCCUGGCCUAGGAUAAUGCCAGGAUGGCCUUAAGAAUGGAGUACAAAUAGCAAAGAAAUGGAAUCAACCUAGGUGCCCAUCAACAUGAAUUAGAUAAAGAAAAUGUGGUAUAUAUAUAUAUAUGCCAUAGAAUACUGCACAGCCAUAAAAAAGAAUGAAAUCAUGCUCUUUGCAGUGACAUGGAUGGAGCUGGAAGCCAUUAUUCUAAGCCAAUUAGUGCAACAAUAGAAAACCAAAUAACAUGUUCUCGCUUAUAAGUGGAAGCUAGACAUUGAAUACACAUAGACAUAAAGAUGGGAACAGUAGACACUGGAGACUGCUAGAUGAGGCGGGAGGGAAGAGGACAUGGGCUGAAAAGUAUUGUGAUAGGUACUAUGCUCACUACAUGGGUGACAGCUAAUUUGUACCCCAAACCUCAGCAUCAUGCAAUAUACCCGUGGAACAUACCCCUUAAUCUAUAAUAAAAGUUGAAAAUUUUUUAAAAAAAGAAAGAACGGGGCACAAGCAGGAGAACAACAAGGUCUGCUUGGCACCCACUCAGGGCCUCGCCCUGCUAGCAGCUGAGUCAGCCCUGUUUAAGAGUUAUGGGUGGACCUAACGCAGUGACCCAGGCAUAGGCAUUCCAGCAUCUACUUCCUGACUGGAGAAGGAGGGCCUUGGCUGGCCCAGGCUGGCUAAAGCUGGCCGUCCUGGGUUUGUCUUGGCUGUCUGUGGGCAAAGCUGCAUUUUAAACUUGAAAUAAUGGUAAAUUCACUAGUAACACUGUUAGAGACAAUGUUUAAUUCGAAAACUCCUGUGCAGUCCAAGUAAAUUAAAUUAUGAGGAUAAAGUUUCCAUCUCAAAGAACAACUAACUGCUAGGAUGACUUCCAACUUAAAAAAAAAAGAAAAAGAAAAAGUACAUUCACCAUAUUUAGAAUCACUUCAUUGUCCUAAAGAGUCAACUUUUUCCUACAAAAAAAAAAAAAGAAACAUUCACUUGACAAUAUCCCAUGAGACCGCCAUUCUAGGGAACCUGAGUGAUAGAGUGGCAGAGUCCUCUGAAGUCACCCCCUUUUCACCUGCACAGGCUGACUGUUCCAUGGGCCCUACCCCACGACCACCCCCUCCUUGUAACUUCACUGCCUGGCAAGUUAAGCGUGAUCCUAAGGGCUGAGGGAAGUUCUGGAAUUUAGGGUGAAUGAGAAGUGUAUUCCCAGAUGAGCUGCUCCUUGUAAGUGAUCAAGCUUCCUAAUAUUUUAAGUAUUUGCCGGGUGCGGUGGCUCAAGCCUGUAAUCUCAACGCUUCGGGAGGCCAAGGCGGGAGGAUCACUUGAGGUCAGGAGUUUGAGACCAGCCUGGCCAACAUGGUAAAACCCCAUCUCUACUAAAAAUACAAAAAAUUAGCUGGGUGUGGUGGUGCACGCCUGUAAUUCCAGCUACUCAGGAGAUUGAGGCAGGAGAAUCACUUGAACCCUGGAGGCAAAGGUUGCAGUCAGCCGAGAUUGCCCUCUGCACUCCAGCCUGGGUGACAGAGUGAGACUUUGUCUCAAAAAAAAAAAAAAAAAAAAAAAAAAUUUAAGUAUUUGUCAUCUCCCUUGAGACAGAGCAGAUUAAUAAUGGAAAAGUGCGGGGGCGGGGGGCGGGGUUCUCUCUACGUCCUGCAGCUACAGUCAGAGCUCUUCCUCUAUAUUUGCCAUGUCACAGCCACUUGCACAUAGAAGUCCCAGUUGUCCUGAAUACCAGUGUGCCCUUCUCAAUCUUAGGUUUGAGAUACUGGUGUCUGCUGUAGGCUCUUUCGCCUUGACUUUGGUAGGUUACCUCUGAAUAGUCCUUUAUAAAUAAAACAAAAGGAACACUACCUAUGGUGGCUCUAGUUUUAGAAGGAGGGCAGAUUCAUGGCUUACACUUGGAGACGCUAGAUUUCCUUAAGUUCGUUGUGCUUUUUAGUAAUUGCUGAAAUGUCUCACAUAGAGGCUAAAUUCAGUCACUAUAUUACUGAGUGCCUAAAAAUUUGGCUUUAUGCCUUAUUUUUAAAUCAUAGCAAUGUAUAAUUUUGGUUAUGUCAUAUCCAUGUAAAAGUCUCCUUUUCUCUUUGUAGAUGUCUUUUAAGGCCUCUUUCAGUUCUAAACAUUUGGAGAUUCCAAAUAGUUUGCAUUUGGGGUUUGUUUGGACUGUUGUUAAUCUGUGGAAAUCCUGAGGAACAAGAAUGGCUUGUUUCUUUGUUUACCUUUAAGGUGGUUUUCCUCCUGGGUGCCUGUUCACCUCCUGAGGAGGGAAAAUUGGGUCAUCUCUAUGUUAUUUAAGGCUGCUCACCUUAAGGGUACUCCCUUAAAUAGGUUGUUAUUCCACAUCUGUCAUCUGUACUAGAACAAAAGUAAAUUCUCACACUCGACUUCAGAGUAGGGGUUUGCUCAAUUGCUUCUUAUCAAAGUUUCUAAGAACUGAGUUUUUUCAGUUAUUUCUUGAGUUUACACAUUCCAGUUUUAUUUAAUCAAAGGAACUGUGUGGGAAAACAGCAGUGUAUAAAAUAUUCAUUCACAGCAGUGAUAGUGCAAUUGAGUAACAGCAGCAGCUGCCCUGAACACAUGGCUGUGAGAACACAAUUAAAAUUUCAACACACUUUGUGAAACACUUUUCUAUACAGCUCAGCUUUCAAAGUCAUGAGGGAAUGUAUAUGGUGCUUAAGUGUAAACUCCUACUUGGAGUCCUGUUGGUGGUUUAAUGAUGAAAAAUAUCUUUUCUUUAAUUCAAAUAUAUUGACCCUAUAUGUAUUUUGAUAGCUGCUAAAAUUCCUAGGGUUAUUCUCAAGGUAGACCUUCAGAAUAUAAAUGCAAAGAUUCUGAAAAUUUCAUGUACAUAAGAGACAACCAGUAAAUAUGUUAAAAAGGCAGAUUUGGAUCAAUUGUUGAUACACUUUUAGGUAGUACCAGGUUUUGGGCUAUUUUGUGUCUUUUUGGUGAACAUAUGUGUUUCUGUUGGGCAUCUAGGAGUAGCAUUUCUGCAUUUAAGGUAGCCAUAUAUUCAGCACUAGUAAAUACUGCCAAAAGUGUUCCAAGAUGAUUUUAUCAACUUAUAGUCUCACUGCCAUGUUAGUGUUUAAGAGUUUCGGUGGAUCCACGUUCUUACCAACACUUGGUGUUUUCUGUUUUUAUUUUAGCCAUUCUAUUGGUUAUACAAAGGUACAGUCAUGUGCCAUAAAAUGAUAUUUUGGUCAACAACGAACCAUGCAGACAAUGGUGGUCCCAUAAGAUUAUAAUAUAUUUUUGCUGUAUCUUUUCUAUAUUUAAGUAUAUUUACAUACACAAAUACUUCCCAUUGGGUUACAACUACCUACAAUAUUUAAGACAAUAACAUGCUGUACAGGUUUAUAACCUAGGAGCAAUAAGCCAUACAAUAUAGCCUAGGUAUGUAGGAGAUUAUAUCAUCUAGGUUUGUGUAGAUACACUCUGUGAUGUUCACACAAUGACAAUACUGCCUAAUGAUGCAUUUCUCAGAAUAUAUCCCCAUCAUUAAGUGACGCAUGACUGUAUUUCAUUAUAAUUUAGAUUUAAAUUGAAUGGAUACAUUUUGGUAUAGUCAUGCAAUAGAAUACCAUUCAGCCAAAGAGAGUGAACAGUCUAUAAUGACAUGCAACAAUGUGGAUGAAUCUCACAAUCUGUGAAAAAAGCCAGACACAAAAGAAUGCAGACUGCAUGAGUCCAUUUAUAGACAGUACCAAAAAACCCAGGUGAAAGUAAUCUAUGGCAUUAGCAAUUAAGAUACGGGUUGGCCUUGAGGAGAGUGAGUAGACUGUGCGUGGAGAGAGCAGAGGGGCUUCUGGGAUAUCAGUGAUAUUAUUCUUGAUCUGAGUGCUGGCUUUGCAGAUGGGUUUAGUUGUGAAACUCCAGCAAGCUGUCCACUUUAUGCUGUGUGCACUUUUCAGUAUGUAUAUUAUUCUUUAUUUAAAUUUUUUUUUAGAGUACAGAUUUCUAGGCCUUUACUGUGAGAUGUGGUCCUUUGAUGGGACCUGGGAGUUUACAUGUUUGACAAGCACUCAGGUGAUUGGGAUGCAGGUGGCCUCAAAGUGCACUUUGAGAAACAUUGGUAAUUGCAUUCAGUGCAGAGAUUUUUAAAGCAUUCAUCAGCUCUUCAAAAUAAUUUAAUCAGCUGCUUUAUAUACUGCAGCUAUUUUUGGUCAUUUCAGAGAUGGUUUCACUCAUCCCACCCCCAUCCCACUUUCACCUUCUGAGAGCGAAUCAAUCCUGGAAAAAUGAAAACCCCAAGUGAGCCCCACGUUGGAAAGAGUUGCAGCUUAUACUCAGUGAGGAAAGGACAAUCAAGUGAGAAAGAAAUCCAUUGGUGGGGAAAAACCCCAUCAAGUGCAGGAAUCAUAGAAACCCUCUCUGGGAGGAGAACUGACCUUUUCUGAUGAAAACUCAUUUCAUUUAUUUAGCCACGGGUGACAGAGUGUAUCUGAGUCUGAGGCAUUUGGUGGAGGCUCUGUAAAAACUAGGUUAAGGACUGAAUCAAAAUCUCUUCCAAUUACACGAAGGAGGAAGCUAAGAAUGCAAAUAACUGUAAAGCUAUUGCUUGUUGUGACUAAAAGUCCUCCACAUAGUAAGGCCUAAAUCAGCUUUCAUUUUAUUGCUAUGGGGAAGGACAGAGCUACCCAACACAAUUAUACAGACAAGUUUUUAAGGGAACAAAAACAGUGAAAAAAAAAAUCACUCAAUGCUUGUUUAGAGCUUGCUCUAUCCGCCCAAGUGCUGAGAAAGUGUUCUCAAAAGUCAAGAGGGAAAGAGUUCUUACUUGAUAAAAAACUGUUGGCUUUUAAAGGGUCAGUUAUUCUCCUUGAAGACACAGGGGUAUGUACCUGAUUUACCUAUAGGCAGGCUGGUAUUAAGUUGAUUUCACUGGUAUGUCUACCCCAAUGAUUAAAAAAUCUGAAAUAAUUUUGUACUUGUUGGAAAAUAGCCCCAGCCCAGGGCUCCUUGAGAACCCCCCAUUCACUGUCCACAUUGCUUGGCCCUCCUCUGGGAUUCCUCAGAACUCCCGACAGUACAGCAACUAAAGGGUUAAUGUCCAGCAAUUGAGAGACCUCCAACCCUGUCCAGCCACAAGCUACCUUAGAGGUCAUUGCUUUGUGGUGAUACCUGUGAAGGGGAGAAAUGGCCUUUUUGGGUCAACUGCGGAACCCUAUCCAUGUUCUUCUCUUACUCAACAGCUUUUCACUACCCUCCCCCCAGAGUGCCCCAAUUCUAUUUCUCUUGUAAUUUUUCAUUCUUUGGUAACUUCUCAUUCAAGGCAAUGAAAGAUCACUAAUUAAAUGUAGAUGUUUUGUCAUUAGAUUAACCUUCUAGUCUGUCACUCCUAAACAUCCAAGGGCUUCCAGAGGCUCUCUGAUUCAUCGGCUCCUUCACUCUCUCAUUCAGCAAACAUCUCUGGAAUGCCUGCUACAUGCCAUCACUGUGCUUACUGGUAAGACUCCAUCCCCCUCAGCUUAAAUGAGAGCUCACAGUCUGGUGGGAAUAAUCAACCUGUAAAUAGACAAUUCUGGUGCAAUCAUGGAGCUAUUCGAGUAUGAUGGGAACAUAAAGGCUGGCAAAGGUAGAUCAUGGUGAGUCAGGGAAGACUUCCUGGAAGAAGUGGUUUGAGCUUAGUCUUUUUUCUUUCUUUUUUCCUUUUAUAGAUUUAGAGAGUACAAGUGCAGUUUUGUUACAGGGAUAUAUUGUGUAGUGGUGAAGUGUGGGCUUUUAGUGUCCCCAUCGCCCAAAGAGUGAACAAUGUACCCAAUAGGUAAAUUUUCAGCUCUCACCACCCCCCCUUUUUUCUCCCCUUUUUUGGAGCGCCCAUUGUCUGUUAUUUCCCUCUCUGUGUUCAUGUGUACCCAUUGUUUAGCUCUCAUAAGUGAGAACAUGUGGUAUUUGAUUUUCUGAGUUAUUACACUUAGGAUAAGGGCCUCUAGCUCUAUCCAUGUUGCUGCAAAAGACAUGAUCUCAUUCUUUUUUUGUUGUUUUUCUUUUCUUUUUUUAUUUUAUUUUUUAUUAUAUUUUAAGUUCUGGGGUACAUGUGCAGAACGUGCAGUUUUGUUACAUAGGUAUACAUGUGCCAUGGUGGUUUGCUGCACUCAUCAACCUGUCACCUACAUUAGGUAUUUCUCCUAAUGUGAUCCCUCCCCUAGCCCCCCACCCCCUGACAGGCCCUGGUGUGUGAUGUUCCCUCCCUGUGUCCAUGUGUUCUUCUUGUUCAACUCCCACUUAUGAGUGAGAACAUGCAGUGUUUUGUUUUCUGUUCUUGUGAUAGUUUACUGAGAAUGAUUGUUUCCAGUUUCAUCCAUGUCCCUGCAAAGGACAUGAACUCAUCCUUUUUUUAUGGCUGCAUAAUAUUAUUCCAUGGUGUGUAUAUGUGCCACAUUUUCUUUAUCCAGUCUAUCAUUGAUGGGCAUUUGGGUUGGUUGCAAGUCUUUGCUAUUGUGAAUAGUGCCACAAUAAACAUAUGUGUGCAUGUGUUUUUAUUGUAGAAUGAUUUAUAAUCCUUUGGGUAUAUACCCAGUAAUGGGAUUGCUGGGUCAAAUGGUAUUUCUAGUUCUAGAUCCUUGAGGAAUCGCCACACUGUCUUCCACAGUGGUUGAACUAGUUUACAGUCCCACCAACAGUGUCAAAGUGUUCCUAUUUCUCCACAUCCUCUCCAGCCCCUGUUGUUUCCUGACUUUUUAAUGAUUGCCAUUCUAACUGGCAUGAGAUGGUAUCUCAUUGUGGUUUUGAUUUGCAUUUCUCUAAUGACCAGUGAUGAUGAGCAUUUUUUCAUAUGUUUGUUGGCUGCAUAAAUGUCUUCUUUUGAGAAGUGUCUGUUCAUAUCCUUUGUCCCCUUUUUCAUGGGGUUUUUUUUUCUUGUAAAUUUGUUUAAGUUCUUUGUAGAUUCUGGAUAUUAGCCCUUUGUCAGAUGGGUAGAUUGCAAAAAUUUUCUCCCAUUUUGUAGGUUGCCUCUUCACUCUGAUGAUAGUUUCUUUUGCUGUGCAGAAGCUCUUUAGAUCUCAUUUAUCAAUUUUGGUUUUUGUUGCCAUUGUUUUUGGUGUUUUAGACAUGAAGUCUCUGCCCAUGCCUAUGUCCUGAAUGGUAUUGCACAGGUUUUCUUCUAGGAUUUUUAUGGUUUUUGGGUCUUACAUUUAAGUCUUUAAUCCAUCUUGAGUUGAUUUUUGUAUAAGGUGUAGGAAAGGGAUCCAGUUUCAGUUUUCUGCAUAUGGCUAGCCAGUUUUCCCCACACCAUUUAUUAAAUAGGGAAUCUUUUCCCCAUUGCUUGUUUGUGUCAAGUUUAUCAAAGAUCAGAUGGUUGUAGAUGUGUGGUGUUAUUUCCGAGGCCUCUGUUCUGUUCCAUUGGUCUAUAUAUCUGUUUUGGUACCGGUACCAUGCUGUUUUUGGUUACUGUAGCCUUGCAGUAUAGUUUGAAGUCAGAUAGCGUGAUUCCUCCAGCUUUGUUCUUAUUGCUUAGGAUUGUCUUGGCUAUGCAGGCUCUUUUUUGGUUCCAUAUGAAGUUUAAAGUAGUUUUUUCUAGUUCUGUGAAGAAAGUUACUGGUAGCUUGAUGGGGAUAGCAUUGAAUCUAUAAAUUAUUUUGGGCAGUAUGGCCAUUUUGACAAUAUUAAUUCUUCCUAUCCAUGAGGAUGGAAUGUUUUUCCAUUUGUUUGCAUCCUCUCUUAUUUCCUUGAGCAGUGCUUUGUAGUUCUCCUUGAAGAGGUCCUUCACAUCCUUUGUAAGUUGGAUUCCUAGGUAUUUUAUUCUCUUUGUAGCAAUUGUGAAUGAGAGUUCACUCAUGAUUUGGCUGUUUGUCUGUUAUUGGUGUAUAGGAAUGCUUGUGAUUUUUGCACACUGAUUCUGUAUCCUGAGACUUUGCUGAAGUUGCUUAUCAGCUUAAGGAGAUUUUGGGCUGAGACGAUGGGGUUUUCUAAAUAUACAGUCAUGUCAUCUGCAAACAGAGACAGUCUGACUUCCUCUCUUCCUAUUUGAAUACGCUUUAUUUCUUUCUGUUGCCUGAUUGCCCUGGCCAGAACUUCCAAUACUAUGUUGAGUAGGAGUGGUGAGAGAGGGCAUCCUUGUCUUGUGCUGGCUUUCAAAGGGAAUGUUUCCAGUUUUUGCCCAUUCAGUAUGAUAUUGGCCAUGGGUUUGUCAUAAAUAGCUGUUAUUAUUUUGAGAUAUGUUCCAUAGAUACCUAGUUUAUUGAGAGUUUUUAGCAUGAAGCGUUGUUGAAUUUUGUUGAAGGCCUUUUCUGCAUCUAUUGAGCUAAUCAUGUGGUUUUUGUCAUUGAUUCUGUUUAUGUGAUGGAUUAUGUUUAUUGAUUUGCGUAUGCUGAACCAGCCUUGCAUCCCAGGUAUGAAGCCAACUUGAUCAUGGUGGAUAAUCUUUUUGAUGUGCUGCUGGAUUCAGUUUGCCAGUGUUUUAUUGAGGAUUUUCGCAUCGAUGUUCAUCAGGGAUAUUGGCCUGAAAUGUUCCUUUUUUGUUAUGUCUCUGCCAGGUUUUGGUAUCAGAAUGAUGCUGGCCUCAUAGAGUGAGUUAGGGAGGAUUCCCUCUUUUUCUAUUGUUUGGAAUAGUUUCAGAAGGAAUCGUAGCAGCUCCUCUUUGUACCUCUGGUAGGUAGAAUUUGGCUGUGAAUCCAUCUGGUCCUGGACUUUUUUUGGUUGGUAGGCUAUUAAUUACUGCCUCAAUUUCAGAACCUGUUAUUGGUAUAUUCAGGGAUUCGACUUCUUCCUGGUUUAGACUUGGGAGGGUGUAUGUGUCCAGGAAUUUAUCCAUUUCUUCUAGGCUUUCUGGUUUAUUUGCGUAGAGGUGUUUAUAGUAUUUUCUGAUGGUAGUUUGUAUUUCUGUGGGAUCAGUGGUGGUAUCCCCUAUAUCAUUUUUUAUUGUGUCUAUUCGAUUCUUCUCUCUUUUCUUCUUUAUUAGUCUGGCUAGCGGUCUAUUGAUUUUGUUGAUCUUUUCAAAAAACCAACUCCUGGAUUCAUUGAUUUUUUGAAGGGAUUUUUCUGUCUCUAUCUCUGUCAGUUCUGCUCUGAUCUUAGUUAUUUCUUGUCUUCUGCUAGCUUUUGAAUUUGUUUGCUGUUGCUUCUCUAGUUCUUUUCAUUUUGAUAUUAGGGUGUCAAUUUUAGAUCUUUCCUGCUUUCUCUUGUGGGCAUUUAGUGCUAUAAAUUUCCCUCUAUACACUGCUUUAAAUGUGUCCCAGAGAUUCUGGUACGUUGUGUCUUCGUUCUCACUGGUUUCAAAGAACAUCUUUAUUUCUGCCUUCAUUUCGUUAUGUACCCAGUAGUCAUUCAGGAGCCGGUUGUUCAGUUUCCAUGUAGUUGUGCGGUUUUGAGUGAGUUUCUUAAUUCUGAGUUCUAAUUUGAUUGCACUGUGGUCUGAGAGACUGUUUGUUAUGAUUUCCAUUCUUUUGCAUUUGCUGAAGAGUGUUUUACUUCCAAUUAUGUUGUCAAUUUUAGAAUAAGUGCAAUGAGGUGCUGAGAAGAAUGUAUUUUCUGUUGAUUUGGGAUGGAGAGUUCUGUAGAUGUCUAUUAAGUCCACUUGGUCCAAGCUGAGUUCCAGUCCUGAAUAUCUUUGUUAAUUUUCUGUCUUGCUGAUCUGUCUAAUAUCGACAGUGGGGUGUUAAAGUCUCGCACUAUUAUUGUGUGGGAGUCUAAGUCUCUUUAUAGGUCUCUAAGAACUUGCUUUAUGAAUCUGGGUGCCCCUGUAUUGGGUGCAUAUAUAUUUAGGAUAGUUAGCUCUUCUUGUUGCAUUGAUCCCUUUACCAUUAUGUAAUGCCCUUCUUUGUCUCUUUUGAUCUUUGUUGGCUUAAAGUCUGUUUUAUCAGAAAGUAGGAUUGCAACUCCUGCUUUGUUUUGCUUUCCAGUUGCUUGGUAAAUAUUCCUCCAUCCCUUUAUUUUGAGCCUUUGUGUGUCUUUGCACAUGAGAUGGGUCUCCUAAAUACAGCACAUUGAUGAGUCUUGACUCUUUAUCCAAUUUGCCAGUCUGUGUCUUUUAAUUGGGGCAUUUGGCCCAUUUCCAUUUAAGGUUAAUAUUGUUAUGUGUGAAUUUGAUCUUGUAAUUAUGAUGCUAGCUGGUUAUUUUGCCCAUUAGUUGAUGCAGUUUCUUCAUAGUGUCAAUGGUCUUUAUAAUUUGGCAUGUUUUUGCAGUGGCUGGUACCAGUUGUUCCUUUCCAUGUUUAGUGCUUCCUUCAGGAGCUCUUGUAAGGCAGGCCUGGUGGUGACAAAAUCUCUCAGCAUUUGCUUGUCUGUAAAGGAUUUUAUUUCUCCUUCACUUAUGAAGCUUAGUUUGGCUGGAUAUGAAAUUCUGGGUUGAAAAUUCUUUUCUUUAAGAAUAUUGAAUAUUGGCCCCCACUCUCUUCUGGCUUGUACGGUUUCUGCUGAGAGAUCCGCUGUUAGUCUGAUGGGCUUCCCUUGAUCGGUAACGCGAUCUUUCUCUCUGGCUGCCCUUAACAUUUUUUCGUCAUUUCAGCCUUGGUGAAUCUGACAAUCAUGUGUCUCAGGGUUGCUCUUCUCGAGUAGUAUCUUUGUGGCAUUCUCUGUAUUUCCUGAAUUUGAAUGUUGGCCUGUCUUUCUAGCUUGGAGAAGUUCUCCUGGAUAAUAUCCUGAAGAGUGUUUUCUAACUUGGUUUCAUUCUCCCUGUCACUUUCAGGUACACCAAUCAAACGUAGGUUUGGUAUUUUCACAUAGUCCCAUAUUUCUUGGAGGCUUUGUUUGUUCCUUUUCAUUCUUUUUUCUCUAGUCUUGUCCUCUCAUUUUAUUUCAUUAAGUUGAUCUUCAAUCAUUGAUAUCCUUCCUUCUGCUUGAUGGAUUCAGCUAUUGAUACUUGUGUAUGCUUCACGAAGUUCUUGUGCUGUGUUUUUCAGCUCCGUCAGGUCAUUUAUGUUCUUCUGUAAACUGGUUAUUCUAGUUAGCAAUUCAUCUAACCUUUUUUCAAGGUUCUUAGCUUCCUUGCAUUGGGUUAGAACAUGCUCUUUUAGCUCAGAGGAGUUUGUUAUUACCCACCUUCUAAAGCCUACUUCUGUCAGUUCGUCAAACUCAUUCUCUGUCCAGUUUUGUUCUCUUGCUGGCAAGGAGUUGUGAUCCUUUGGAGGAGAAGAGACGUUCUGGUUUUUGGAAUUUUCAGCCUUUUUGCGCUGGUUUCUCCCCAUCUUUGUGAAUUUAUCCAUCUUUGGUCUUUGAUGUUGGUGACCUUCGGAUGGUGUCUUUGAGUGGAUGUAUUAUUCCUUUCUGUUUGUUAGUUUUCCUUCUAACAGGCUCCUCUGCUGCAGAUCUGCUGGAGUUUGCUGGAGGUCCACUCCCGACCCCGUUUGCCUGGGUAUCACCAGCAGAGGCUGCAGAACGGCAAAGAUUGCUGCCUGUUCUUUCCUCUGGAAGCUUCAUCCCAGCAGGGCACCUGCCAGAUGCCAGCCAGAGCUCCUGUCUGAGGUGUCUGUCAGCCCCUACUGGGAGGUAUCUCCCAGUCAGGAUACACAGGGGUCAGGGACCCACUUGAGGAGGCAGUCUGACUCUUAGCAGAGCUUGAACGUUGUGCUGGGAGAUCUGCUGCUCUCUUCAGAGCUGUCAGGCAGGAACGUUUAAGUCUGCCGAAGCUGCACCCACAGCCGCCCCUUCCCCCAGGUGCUCAGUCCCAGGGAGAUGGGGGUUUUAUCUAUAAGUCCCUGACUAGAGCUGCUGCCUUUUUUUCAGAGAUGCCCUGCCCAGAGAGGAGAAAUCUGGCAGUCUGGCCACAGCAGCCUUGCUGAGCUGCAGUGGGCUCUGCCCAGUUCCAACUUCCUGGCUGCUUUGUUUACACUGUGAGCAGAAAACUGCCUACUCAAGCAUCAGCAAUGGCGGACGCCCCUCCCCCCACCAAGCUCAAGCGUCCCAGGUGGAUCUCAGAUUGCUGCUGUGUUGGCAGUGAGAAUUUCAAGCCAGUGGAUCUUAGUUUGCUGGGUUCUGUGGGGAUGGGACCCACUGAGCCAGACCACUUGGCUCCCUGGCUUUAGCACCCCUUUCCAGGGGAGUGAACAGUUCUGUCUCGCUAGCAUUCCAGGUGCCACUGGGGUAUGAAAAAAAAAAACAAAAAAACUCCUGCAGCUAGUUUGGUGUCUGCCCAAACGGCCGCCCAGUUCUGUACUUGAAACCCAGUGCCCUGGUGGAGUAGGCACCAGAGGGAAUCUCCUGGUCUGUGGGUUGCGAAGACCAGGGGACAAGUGCAGUAUCUGGGCCAGAAUGUGCAUGGCUCCUCAGGCUCAGUCCCUCAUGGCUUCCCUGGGGUAGGGGAGAAAAAUUCCUCUACCCUUUGCGCUUCCGGGGUCAGCCAACGCCCCACCCUGCUUUGGUUCACCCUCCAUGGGCUGCACCCACUGUCCAACCAGUCCCAAUGAGAUGAACUGGGUACCUCGGUUGGAAAUGCAGAAGUCACCCACCUUUUGCGUCGAUCUUGCUGGGAGCUGCAGACCAGAGCUGUUCCUAUUCAGCCAUCUUGCCAGCAAUGAUCUCAUUCUUUUUUAUGGCUGCAUAGUAUUUCAUGGUGUGUGCAUAUACACACACACUCAUAUAUAUUUUAUACACACACACACACGCCCCACAUUUUCUUUAUCCAGUCGUUUGUUGAUGGACACUUAGGUAGGUUCCAUGACUUUGCUAUUGUGAAUAGUGCUAUAAUAAACAUGCAAGUGCAGGUAUCUUUUUAAUAUAAUGAUUUCUUUUCCUUUGGGUAGAUGCCCAGUGGUGGGAUUAAGCUUAAUCCUAAUGGCAAAAUAGAAGUUAGUCAGGUGGGGAUGGCAAGUAGAAGAAAUGUUGGGCAAAGGAGACUAUGAACAAAGUAAGAAACAGCAUGAUAUGUGCAGGCACCUGAGGGUAAAGUGUGAGACCAAAGGUGGUAGAAAGUGAGGUGUGAGAGGAAAGCAGGGAUGGGGAAGCUGAAAUGGGAUUUUGUAAGGAAGAGGUUUUCAGCCUGGGAGUCCUAACUCACUGGGGUGCAGCCAAACAAUGUGUUACUAAUAAUAAAGUGUUAGGUUUGUAAUGGCUUUACUCCUUUAGAAACCUAAAUUAGAGCAGAUUCAAGGUUAUCCCUAGAAUAUGGUGACUGUCCCCCACUGGCAUUCCAUAUGCUUUCUUGAGAGAGAGAAAGGGAUGGAGCGAGGGCUAGAAGCCAGUGCUUGAGCAUAACUCUUUGUUCACCUUAUCCAAGCAGCAAGCUAGUGGCUACAGUAGUAACAAACUGCUGCUGUGCUUUACUUCCUUACCAGGUCUUUCAGGUUUCAUGAAAUCUAAGUGUACCCAGAAGACAGUACACCUCUGUGCAAGCACAUCGCCCAUCUUGAUAGUCACAGAGGAUGGCAGCUGCGUAAAAUGGGGAGCCAUGGAAAUGUUUCCAUGCUGUGGGCUGUGUGCAUUUUGUGGUGGCUCCUCUGGCUCCAGUGAUUGAACAUCCUGUGGGUAUGGAAAUCUCUGCUGCACACUCCCAGUGUACUUAUAUUUCAAAUCAACUAUAUGCUUAUUGCUCCACUAAUAUAUUAUAUCUAUUUAAAAACAUUGUCCAAAAUAUAAACAGUAAAAGGAUAAAAUAGAAAAGGGAUUAAAGCAUUUAAAAUAAUUUUAUUUACUUAUAAUAGACAAACCUAAUGAUUGAAUACACCUAAUUAUUCUGUUUAAGUUUUGGUUUAAUACUUGCAAUACAGUGAUUUGCAGGUCUUGUUCUCAGUGUAUUUCAGUUCUUGCUUGUAGUGGCUGAUAUAGCUGGAAAAGGCCUUAUAAAGAUAUGGAACUCCAAAUGGAAGCACACUUACUAAUCAUGAGACUCCGUGCUCAAUUCUAUUAGUAAUGACACAAAUGUCUUUGAUGAAAUUCAAGUUGGUAAAUAUGUUUCAUCCCUGAUAUCAAUCAGUUGUUCUUGCAGGCUAACUGGAAGAGAUAUGUACUUUUUGUCGUGUUAACAAAUAGUUGCCGUUAUCUGCUGAACCUCUUUUCUAAAAAACGUAAAAUAGGUUAGUAAAUGCCAAGCUUUUAAAGUGUUCUGAUACCCAUGUGUGUACACAUGACCCCCUUACGUUAUUUUUGGCAAUAAAAUCACAAGAUGAUGGAACCAUUUUUAAACAUCUAUUUUUAAAGUUCUCUUCGAUAGGGGUUUCUUUUGAAAAGUAGUUAUUUUUUCAUUCAUUGUUAAAAUGUUAUCUUUACCUUGAGGAAACUGAGUAAGUGUAUUUAUUUUUUAAAAAACAACUGCAAGAUAGCAUACUGAGGAUUCAUCAAAGAAAAGGGCAGCAUAUGUGGAAGAAAAAAUAUGCCUCUUACUUAAAUUUGGCAAUUUGAAAAUUGGCCUGAUUGGAUUUUGGAACGAGUGAGAGAAGGGAGUCCAGGAUAAAUUCCUAGCUUUCUAGCUUGGACAACUGCUUGAAUGGUGGUGUCACCAAAUGAAGUAGAGAGAGGAAGAAAACAGGAGCCAGUUUAGGAAGAUGAUGAAAAAACAAGUUGAACUGGUAGUUGAUGAGUUCAAGUGCCCACAGGACUUCCUGCUAUUAUUUCAUGCCUGACAUACUGAAAAUCAAACUCAUCCUUGGCUUUAUGUCCUGAAUUUACAUUUUCUCUCUGUUCUCCUAUCUCUGUCCAUGGCACCAACCUCUCUAGGUACUUAAGGGUAAACAUGUUGGAGCCAUAUAUUGAAACGGGAAAGGUUCCCUUGUCCCCCUUGCAGGGCGUGCAAGGGGCGUGUGGCUUGCUUCUUCAGUGCCCCGCUCCUCAGAGCUCUAGGGGAGCAUACAGACUGGCAGGCUGUGGGGCUCCGACCCCACGGCAGUGUCUAGGGGUAAAUGUUUACAGCUCCUCAAGCCCCAGUGGGCAUGUGUUAAAGGGUGCUCUCUUAGUUUGCCGUCUAUAGGCAGCUUGCGUUAACCAGCUCGAUGAACCUUGUGGCAAGGGCAGAGGGAUUUCCAUAUCCCAGGGUUUCUUGCCUUGAUGUACCGGAAGAAUCGGAUCACACAUGGGCUUGGAGAAUGAAUGCAAGGUUUUAUUGAGUAGAAGUAGCUCUUCGCUGAUGGACAAGCCAGAAGGGAGAUAGUUUUCCCCUGGAGUUGGGCCGCUGGGUGCCCUUGCUCUCCUCAGAGUGCCCUGGCUAAGCUCCACCUCGACCUGCAAGUCGAUGGCCUGCAGUGUCUGUCGGUGUGCUCUUCUGCCAGCAUGCUCCCCUCGAUGUCCUCUCGCCAUCCAGCCACUUGUGCCUACUUCCAAUGACGUGUUCCUCUCGACGUCCAGCCACCUCUCUCUGCCUCGCUAGGGUCUCAGGUUUUUGUAGGCCCAGGAUGGGGGUGUGGUGGGCCAGGGUGAUCUUGGGAAAUGUAACAUUUGGGCACAUAGGCAGAAGUGCCUGUCCUCACCAAGGUCUGUGGGGGUGAAGCCCUAGCCAGGGACCCGCCCUCCUCUACCCAGCACUUCCCUGUCCCUCUUCCGUAUCGUUUAAAGGGAACACACUCUUCCCUUCCCAGCACUCCUGAUUCAUCCUUCUGUUUCCUUCUCUAUCCAAUGAGUAACUGAGGACUUUCCAGUUUUAUUUGUUCCUUCUAUAUGUAUUUAUUGAGCACCUCCUGUGUGCCAGGUACUCAUCUAGGCCCUGGGAAUGUAAGUGGGCAGAAGACAGACAGAGUGCUGGUUGUCAUGGAGCUUAUAUUCCAGGUGGAGAAAAUAGAUGAUAAAUAAAUAUGUAAACAUGUAAAUAAGAAACUCAUGAAAUUUUGUUAAGUGCUCAGUAAAGAAUUGAAGCAAAGUCAUAUAAUGCUGCCUGGAUGGCGCUAUAGAUGGGGUGGGCACAGAAAAGCUCUCUGAGGUGGUGCCAUUGAAUGGUGAGCUCUGAGUCCUUGUACUAUCAGGGGAAAGAUCUUUUCGGGCAGAAGGGCCCAAGCUCUCCAUGAGCACAGUGAGUUGUAGGAACAACGGGAAAGCCAGGAUGGCUAAGGCUUGGUGGUGGUGGAGUGACCCAAAAGUUAUGGCUUUUCUUGAAUCACUGCUACUCUGUUCCCAUGCUCACCACUUCAUGCCUGGCCUGUUAAAAUGUCCUUUAAUUUCUCCCCACCUUAACUCUCUCCUUGAAAUUAUUUUGCACAUGAGUACCUGGUUUGCCUUCACUAUGCCGUGAUAAAAAGCCAUCAGUAGCUGGAAGCUGUAGGUUGGCCUUUGGGGGUCAGGAACACACAUACACAGCUCUUCAACUGGGGCUCCUGUGAGGUUUCCAAGAGGCUUCGGGAGGAAAUGAAGUCUCUUGUUACCCUCUCAUGUUUACCCACCCUACAUAUUGGUUUUCAAUUACUCUUGUAACAAAUGACUACAAACUUCGUGGCUUAAAACAGCAUGGAUUUAUUCCCUUACAGUUCUGGGGCCAGACAUCUGAAGUGGGUCUUAUUAGGCUUAGAAGCAAUGUCCUCAGGACUGUGCUUCUUUCAGUAGGCUCUGUGGGAGAAUCUGUUUCCUUACCUUUCCCACCUCUAGAGGCUGCCUGCGUUUCUUAGCCAUGGCCCCUUCCUGCAUCUUUAAAGCCAGCAGGGCAGCCUCUUCCAGUCUCUCUCUGACUCUGACCCUCACUCUCUUGCUUCCUACUUUCACUUAUAAGGACCCUUGUGAUCACGUUGGGGCAUCUGGAUAAUCCAGAACAGGAAAAUCUCCCCAUCUCAAGGUUAACCACUGAUUAGUAACAAUAUACUUCAUAUAUAUGAACAGAAAUGUACAUAUGUAUACAUGUCUAUGUUAUAUUACCAUAUAAAUAUCAUAUCUCAUGUGCAAAAAGAAUGCAUUCACAGGUUCUGAGGAUUGGGAUGUGGGCAUCUUUAGGGGUUCAUUAUUCUACCUAGCACAUCCUGCUUCUUUGAUGUAUUGGGUUUUAUCAGAUAUUUGUGGCUCAUAAGGACUUCCUUCAAAUGGAAAGGCCACUACUAAGACUAAGAGGAGGCCUAUCAUGGAAUCUCAGUAGGAGAUUGCUUUGACUUUGUGAACACGGUGGAGCUCUGCCCAUCAAUGAGGCAGGAUUACUUGCUUUUCCUGCAAGGGCAGCUGAAUGUGGGAUGGUGGGAAUAGCAGUAGCUAUUCCCUUGUAUAUUCUAUCCAAGGCUAUUGGCUAUUCUAUGCUUUGGGUAGAACUCGAACAGCAGAGAAUAUUUAUUUAUCUCAUUUAUUUUCUAUCCUGAUGGAGAGGUGGAUGAGUUGGCCUUUAAGGUGCCCCCAGUCUUGAGAGUUUAUUAUUUUCCUGUCUGAUGAGAUGGCCUCCAAGACAAAAUGAAUGGCUGAGGGAUAUGGAAUAGGAAAUCACGUUAGGUAGCAUAAGUGCUAACCUCUUGAAAGAGAUUAUUAAAUUUAAUUAGUGGACAUAUUCUGUCUGCUCCACACUUGAGAAUUUAUAGGAAAAGAGAUACCAGAACGCUCCUUAGUGAGACAUUCUUUUGUUGUCUUCAACCUCUAAGUAAUGUCUACCUGCCAGAAAAGCUAUUCUUUGGCAGGAAAUGCAAGUAAAAUCCCAUUAUAUUGAUCUCCAUUGGACAAUGACCAUAUGUACUGAAUUUCUGGAAUAGUUCUCAUUUCAUGUAUUUUAUUCUUUUCAAUAAGGAAUUAAUUAAAUGUAUAACUAAAUGUAAUUUAAUUUUAUAUCUUGGUAAGACAUUUCAUACAAAUAAUUUCACAAAUCAGGAAAAGAUUUUCUGUCUUUAUCUUAGUUUUUAUUUUGGGCAAAUGCAAUUGAACAUCUAUUUUCCUGGUGGUGAAAUUUUUUGCCUGGAUAAUUAUACUGCUACAAAACACCCGUCAUCUGUGGAGCUAAAGACAAACAAAACUUAUUUCCAGUCUCUGUGUAUAAGCAGCAAAUUUGUACCUGGUAAUAAAUUUACCUUGAAAAAAGUAAAAGAAAUGAAAAAAAAAGAAAUGCUAAGAAUAAUGACAUCCAAUGUGUAUCAAAUACUCACCAUAAUGUAGGCACUGGAAUAAGUACUUUACAUGUAUAGCUUUGUUUCAGUUUUAAAAAUGAAAGCUCUGUGAAGUAAAUAUGUUCUCCCUGCCCUUAUUGUAGAGGUGGAGGCUGAUAGGGCACUUGGAGCAAAGUUGUCCUAACAAUGUACAGAGUUAGAAAGGAGAGAAUUGAUAUUUGGGUUAAUUCACUGCGUCAACCCCAAGCCUUUCUUCCUCUAAGCAUCCUAGGGAUAGAUAGGUAGGUUUUGAGGGAGGAGGUGUGGUUGGGGUGACUGAAGUGGAAUUACGGUGAUGGUCUAUGAGAAUUAGAGCCCUUGGACUACAGAGAGAACCAAGAGUUUCUCAGCAGAUCAGGUUCCAAGAACCUCGAUGUCUGGGGCUGCAGAGUUCUUGCUUUGACGUCUUCUGUGAUAAAGAUCUGGUCAGUCAUUCCAAUCUGCCCUAUUCCAGAAAAUGGCUCACCAUCCAUGCAGCCACUGAAACCUAAGCUAGGAGUCAUCUGAAAUUCUUUUUUUUCCACCUCAAAUCCUAUGCAUCAGCAAGUUCUGGGCUGUCCUACUACAAAAUACAUCUAGAAUCUGGUUCUUCUAUUGUCUUAAGUUUGUUUGUGCAGCUAAAACAAAAGACUACAGUUUGAGCAGCUUAUAAACAAUAAACAUUUAUUUCUCAUGGUUCUAGAGGCUGGAAGUCCUGCAUCAAGGUGCCAGUAGAUUUGGUUAGGGCCCACUUUCUGAUUCAUGGAUGGCACCUUCUUGCUGCUUCCUCACCUGGUGGAACAGGCAAACGAGCCCCUCAGGCUCUUUUAUAAGAGCACUAAUACCAUUUAUGAGAGCUCCCCACUCAUGACCUAAUCACCUCCUAAAGGCCUUACCUCUUAAUAUGAUCAUAUUGGGGAUUGGAUUUCAAUGUAUGAAUUUUGGGGGCCACAAACAUUUGGACUGUAACAUCUGUCCAUCCUAAUGACUGUCACCCUCCCAAAGGUUCAUCUGCUCUCUCUCCUGAACUACCACAACAGCUUCCUAACCAGCCUCCCUGCUUCCACACAAUCCCACCCCAAAGUCAUCUUCUAAAAACAUAAAUCAGAUCAAGCUCUCCUCUGCUUGACCUUUGUCAACAUCUUCCUUGUGCCCUUAGAAUAAAAGCCCCACCUCCUAGCAUGGCUCACAGGCCCCAAAUGAACUGGAUCCUGUCUGUGUCUCUAAACUCAUAUUGUAUCCCCUAGGUUCUUUUCCACCUCAGGGCCCCCACCAUCCCCUCUACUGAAAUCACCUUCUUCCUUAGGUAUUUAACAUUAGCUCUUCAAGAGGGCCUCAGACAAGCAUGCCUCCACGUGCAUCCCUCAAAUACUCUGUCACAUAACCCCUUCCAUUUUUUAUGUGGCAGUUAUUGCAAUCUGUUAUUAUUUUGUUUGUAAGUUGGUUGUUCUUUUGUUUAUCUCUCCCACUAGAGGGCUGGACAUCAUCUGCCUGAAUCCUCAGAGCCUAGCACAGUGCCUGACAAAUUAGGGGUUCAUUGAUUAUUUGUGAAAUAAAUUAUAGAAUGCAUCAUGAUGAUUUUUUGAAGUAUUAUUAUGCUCUUAAGGACAGGUGCAUAUAUUGGAUGCACUUUGGUAUGUCUGUCCAGCUUGUAAUAACACUCUUAAUUGGGUGCCUGGAGUCAGAGGAAAUGGCCCCCAGGAACAUCUAGGUGCAUGUGCCCCUGACCUCUGGCUCCAGUGGAUUGGCAGCUGACCCAGAUGGGGUCAACUGAAAUUGCAACUCUGGUAAUUUGCAUUUGGGACUGGAGAGAAGUAUGGUUGGACUAUGAGUCCUCAGGAGACCUGGGGCAGUCAUGAGCUCUGCUCUAUGGGCUGGGACCAGAGAAGGCUGGUGAGCAGAGGAAGAGAGGAGACUGAGCAGAUGUGCAAAGAGAAAGGGUGACGUGAGACCCAGGGAGACAGUUGGGAUGGAUUUCCAGUAUCUUCUUGCUGCUCAUCUGACCUCCUAGCCUUGGGUUGAGGAAAAUAUCACCUCCCUGCCCUCCAAAUGCCAUUCCGGGGUAAAGCCAGUGUGUUAAGGACGCUUCGGUCCAUUUGACACUUUGUGAAAACAAAUUCACCAUUUCCAUGUUGGUUCUGCUUCAGCACACAUUGCUCCGUGCCACUUUCACCUCAUGUGAUGAUAGAUGGCUUGCUCUUGAGCUGGAAACUGUGUGUAAGUGACAAGGUUUCUUGAAAAAGAAAAUGGAGAAAAAGAAGUGAGAGGUGAACAUCUCUGUGGCAUCCCCUGUAAGGAGAGAGGGCCGUGAGCUAUGAAAAAGCAGGUGCAGUAAGCCGGGGAGCUGGGAACGGGAGACUCAGAGAAUAUAAAAUGUCUGGUUACAAGAUAUGAGUUUCGAAGCAGCAGAGUGAAUCUCCUCAGGUGAUGGAUCAUUAUGCUGAAAUCAGUCUUCACAAUGGAAGACAAUGUUAGCAAAAAUGAAAUAUUCCCUCUGAACCAGGGGUUUAAAGUAUAGUAGGCCACUCCAUGGUAGUGACAAUCAAUGUCAACUCAGUUUAAGAACAUACAAUCUUCUCUUAGCCUGACCUCAUUAAACCUGAUACUAAUGAGAGACUAAAGUCCAACAGCCAUGCAUGGGAGUUUAAUAUUGCUACAAUCACAGCGAUUCAAAAGUCCUUUAUCAGCAAAGGCAUGGGGAAAAACAUGUUGGCUUCUCAGCAUUGCAACCGGCUGUAAAGUAUCUCUCAACGAGUCCACCAAGGUGUGAAAAUCAAAAGCCCAGCAGGAGCUAUUUAUAUUGGAAGAUUAUUAGGCAUUAGCCGCACAGAGGAAUUGCCUCAGAAAAUGCUGCGCCUGACUAGAUACUUCCAUGGUAAAACCCAGAAAACACUGAGCUCUCCAGAAUAAUUUUCAUUCUUACAAGAACGUGCACCUCUGCUUGGAGUGUCAUCUCUCCUGCCAUGUGUGCCUGGACAGGCUGGGGAGGGAAAGUGGACUCCAAGGACAUGGGGGAGUUGAAUAUCAGUUAGUUUUGUACACAUCAGCAGACCUCCUGCUACUUCCACAACAAGGACUUUUAAAACCUGAGGUAAGGCUGGUAUAUACAGUUCAUGUGUGCUUAUGAAGACGUGCACAAGCAUGGCCUGGAGAAGCGUGGCCCCAGGAAAAGCUAGGCAUCUGCUCUGGCAUCCUGGCCCUGCUGGAAUAAUAGCCCCAAGUUUUGGCUGGGGCGAGUCUGUUUGCCAAAAGAGAGGUUUUAAGGCCUAGAGCAGUGUUUCCGAAACAGACCUCGACUGGGUGUUAGUAUGUGUAAGGAGAUAAAAGGAUUACAUGGGCAAUGUCUGUGAGAUACUGAGCUAAAUAAGUUAAAUUAAAAAUUAAAAUGAAUGCAUGUAAUAUUAAUGCAUACAAAAAAUUUACACACACACACACACGCACGCACACACACACACAAUAAAGAACAAUAAAAACCCAGCUUAACAAAUACACUACCAAUCCCAGAGAAUCCCCUGGUUGCCCCUUUCUGAUUGUAGCCUCCUCUUUUCCCCAGAGUAAUCAGUAUUCUGAAUUUUGUGUUUGAGUUUUGUUUUUCAUAAUGGUUCUACUAUAGGUAUAUAAAUAUAUAUCGUUAAAUAAUAUAUUUUAAAUUUGUAUAUGCUUUUGGGCUGGGCAUGGUGCCUUAUACAUGUAAUCUCAGCAAGGUGGGAGGAUUGCUUGAGGCCAGGAGUUCAAGACCAGCCUGAGCAACUUAGUGAGACCAUAUCUCUAUAAAAAAUUUUUGAAAAAAUAUUAGCCAGGCAUGGUGGCACAUGCCUGUAGUCCCAGGCUACUCAGGAGGCUGAGGAAGGAGGAUCACUUGAGCCCAGGAGAUCAAGGCUGCAGUGAGCCCAGAUGGUGCCACUGUGCUCUAGCCUGGGUGACAGAUCAAACCCUGUCUCAAAAAAAAAAUUUUUUUAAAAAGCUUUUGAAUUAGCUUUAUAAAAAAGCAUGCAGUGGAUAUUCUUCUAAGACUUGUCCUUUAUUCCAUUCUGUGUUUCUGGACUUCAUCUCUGUUGAUAAACAUAGCUGUAGUUCAUUUUCAUUGCCAUUAUUCAUUUUGUUUAUGAACAAUUCAUUUGCCAUUUAGUGUCUGAUUAAUAUUAUUUUGGCUUUGGUGUUUUGCCAUCACAAACAAUGGUACUAGGAACUUUCUGGUAAACGUUUUUUAGAGCACAUGUACAAGAAUUUCUCUAGGGUAUGUAUCAGUGGGUGUGAGGGUAGGUACAUCUUCACCUUUAUAGGAUAAACCAAAUUGUGAUCCAAAGGGAUGGUUCUAAUUUUCAUUCAGUCUAACAGGCUUUAAAUGUCAUUGCUCCGUAUCUGCGUCGACACUUGGCAGUGUCAGACUUGAAUUUUUUGCCCAUCUCAUUGUGAUUUUGGUUCUCACCUCCUUUAUUACUAGUGAAUUUCAGCAUCUUUUCAUAUAUUUAUUGGUUGUUUGAGUUUCCUCUUCUGUAAAUGCUAUUAUCCACAUUCUUGCCCAAUUUCUAACUGGGUUGUCUUUUCCUUAUUGACUUUUAGGGGUUCUUUAUGCUUUCUUCAUUGUAAUUCUUAAGUUACGUAUUUGAAAAAUUUUUUCUGUCAAUUUGUGAUUCAUGUUUUCACUUUCUUAAUGAUGUUCUCUCAUGAAGAGAAGUUUUACAUUUUAAUAGAGAUGAAUGUAUCAAUCUUUUAUGUUAUGGUUGUGCUUUUGGGGUCCAAUUUAAGAAAGUUUCCCUACAAGAGAUUAAAAAUAUUGUCCUAAAUGUUUUAUAAUCUUGCUUUUCCCACUAAGUCUCUAAUCUCUGUUUUUGUGCGUAGAUUUCUUUACAAACUCAGGACUUCCCUCAGUUGCCAGUAUGCAUUGUGGACCCCCGCCCCCUGAAGGAAGACAGAAUACAGCAUUUUUCUGUUGUAUUUGGCCUUGGAUUUCUUUUUCAGAGGCAUCUCUAGGGAUAUCUUAGAACAUACUCUGGGAACCACUGUUCUGUAGAGUAGAAAAAAAUUAAAACUCACUUUCUACCUACAUUCUUGACUGAUUCUGGGAUCCUGAAUCAAUUGCUGGGUCAAUCGUUUGUGAUUUGUUUUACUUAUUUUGAAAAUAAAGACCUUAUUACCUAAACUAAAAGAUAAAAGACAAUAUAAUUAUUAAUAUGCAUAGAGAACAACAGCUAGAGUGAAAGUAUUAAUGUGCAAAAAGUGUUAAAAUUAUGUGCGUCUGUGUGUGUUUUGUUUUUUUUUUCAGACAGGUCUCACUCUGUUGCCCAGGCUGGAGUGCAGUGGGACGAUCUCAGCUCACUGCAACCUCUGCCUCCUGGGCUUAAUCGAUUCUCAUGCUUCAGCCUCCCGAGUAGCUGGGAUUACAGGCAUGUGCUACCACGCCUGGCAAAUUUUUGUAUUUUGGGUAGAGAUGGGGUUUCACCAUGUUGGCCAGGCCGGUCUCAAACCCUUGACCUCAGGUGAUCUGCCUGCUCAGCCUCCCAAAGUGAAAAAUAUGAAUGUAUGAAUAUUCUCCGUCUCUUCAUUCUACACCACUUGCUUGGGGAUAGGAGUGUUGCAUGGAAGAUUUUUGCCUGCUGGAUUCCCCCUAGGCUUUUCUGGUGGAGAAUCUGGGGCAUAGCUGUAUGGAAGGAAGGCAGAAAGCCAAAAUGAUAUAUGCAAUAAAGAGCUUGAGGAGAAGAGGUGGUACACAGGGGAUGGGGGAGAAGACAGAUAUAGACAAGCUUUAAGUCCUGAGUGUUGGAGAGGGGUUGGGUGGAGAGUUGAGAGGGAGGAGUUGAUAAAGAGGCUCCAAAACAACCACAUGUGAGAAUGUGAGAGUGUGAGAGAACUUGAGAGGUACAGUAAGGGGGGGACUAUCAGAAAUGUGCUGUGAAUUGGCCAAGCAUAUGGCUCAUGCCUGUAAUCCCAGCACUUUGGGAGGCUGAGGCAGGCAGAUCACCUGAGGUCAGGAGUUCAAGACCAGCCUGGCCAACAUGGUGAAAUCCCGUCUUUAGUAAAAAUACAAAAAUUAGCUGGGCAUGGUGGUGGGCACCUAUAAUCCCAGCUACUUGGGAGGCUGAGGCUGGAGAAUCGCUUGAACCCAGGAGGUGGGAGUUGCAGUGAGCAGAGAUCACGCCAUUGCACUCCAGCCUGGGUGACAAGA
rnacentral:lncRNA from 1 species